UACCUACGGGACGCAGCAGUGGGGAAUAUUGCACAAUGGGGGGAGCCCUGAUGCAGCGACGCCGCGUGGGUGAAGAAGUCAUUCGUGACGUAAAGCCCUAUCAGCAGGGAAGAAAAUGACGGUACCUGACUAAGAAGCCCCGGCUAACUACGUGCCAGCAGCCGCGGUAAUACGUAGGUGGCAAGCGUUAUCCGGAUUUAUUGGGUUUAAAGGGUGCGUAGGCGGAACAUUAAGUCAGCGGUAAAAUCGAGGGGCUCAACCCCUUUAAGCCGUUGAAACUGGU
rnacentral:rRNA from 1 species